rnacentral:rRNA from 1 species
UGUGCCAGCCGCCGCGGUAAUACGUAGGGUGCGAGCGUUGUCCGGAAUUACUGGGCGUAAAGGGCUCGUAGGUGGUUUGUCGCGUCGUCUGUGAAAUUCCGGGGCUUAACUCCGGGCGUGCAGGCGAUACGGGCAUAACUUGAGUACUGUAGGGGUAACUGGAAUUCCUGGUGUAGCGGUGAAAUGCGCAGAUAUCAGGAGGAACACCGAUGGCGAAGGCAGGUUACUGGGCAGUUACUGACGCUGAGGAGCGAAAGCAUGGGUAGCGAACAGGAUUAGAUACC